rnacentral:lncRNA from 1 species
GGGAGAAGCGGCUGAAGCGCCCAAGUUGCAGGCGGCUCGCUGCGCAGACGUGCCGCUCAGCCUGCAAGUGGAAGCGGCACCGCACCGGGGCUCGGCUGUCGCUCCCGCGGGGGCAGCGCUGCCCGGGGGCCGCUGACAACGCCCCGGAGAGACCCCACCGCCGCUUCCCACGGGGAAAGACGAGACCGGCGCUUCUCGGUCCCCCUCACCGCUGGGGCAGCUCCUGCCUUUCCCGCAGGAGCACCAGCCGGCGCACCCUCGGAGGGCGGGAGAGGACCGCUCUCCUCCAGAAGCGCAGCGGGAUGCGGCGGGCACCACCGGUCGGGAGCGACCCCCGGCGAGCAGGGAGCCCGCGGCACCUCAGCUGUGAAGAUAGAAGACAAGCAGUAAUCCCUAUGAAUGGCAGCUGA